rnacentral:rRNA from 1 species
GACGAACGCUGGCGGCGUGCCUAAUACAUGCAAGUAGAACGCUGAAGGAGGAGCUUGCUUCUCUGGAUGAGUUGCGAACGGGUGAGUAACGCGUAGGUAACCUGCCUGGUAGCGGGGGAUAACUAUUGGAAACGAUAGCUAAUACCGCAUAAUAGUAGAUGUUGCAUGACAUUUGCUUAAAAGGUGCAAUUGCAUCACUACCAGAUGGACCUGCGUUGUAUUAGCUAGUUGGUGAGGUAACGGCUCACCAAGGCGACGAUACAUAGCCGACCUGGGAGGGGGAUCGGCCAACCUGGGACUGAGACACGGCCCAGACUCCUUCGGGAGGCAGCCGUAGGGAAUCUUCGGCAAUGGACGGAAGUCUGACCGAGCAACGCCGCGUGAGUGAAGAAGGUUUUCGGAUCGUAAAGCUCUGUCGUAAGAGAAGAACGAGUGUGAGAGUGGAAAGUUCACACUGUGACGGUAUCUUACCAGAAAGGGACGGCUAACUACGUG